UAUUUUGACUAUACGAAGGUAUUGAAAUAAGAUUUUAAAUGAGUGCUAAGAGAAUGAUUAAACAAUUAAAAGCUUUCUUUAAUUGAAUAAUUGAAUUUAAUUUUUUAGUGCAAAAGCAAAAAUAAAAAUUAGGGACAAGAAGACCCUAUGAAUUUUUUAUUAAAUUUUAUAAAACUUUAUAUAAAAUUUAAUUUAAUUGGGGUGAUGGAAAAAGAAUAAAUAUCUUUUUUUAAAAGAAAAUUGGUUCCGUUCUUAGCGAUUAAAUGAAAAAAAUA
rnacentral:rRNA from 1 species